rnacentral:rRNA from 1 species
GAUGAACGCUGGCGGCGUGCCUAAUACAUGCAAGUCGAGCGAACGGACGAGAAGCUUGCUUCUCUGAUGUUAGCGGCGGACGGGUGAGUAACACGUGGAUAACCUACCUAUGAGACUGGGAUAACUUCGGGAAACCGGAGCUAAUACCGGAUAAUAUUUUGAACCGCAUGGUUCAAAAGUGAAAGACGGUCUUGCUGUCACUUAUAGAUGGAUCCGCGCUGCAUUAGCUAGUUGGUAAGGUAACGGCUUACCAAGGCAACGAUGCAUAGCCGACCUGAGAGGGUGAUCGGCCACACUGGAACUGAGACACGGUCCAGACUCCUACGGGAGGCAGCAGUAGGGAAUCUUCCGCAAUGGGCGAAAGCCUGACGGAGCAACGCCGCGUGAGUGAUGAAGGUCUUCGGAUCGUAAAACUCUGUUAUUAGGGAAGAACAUAUGUGUAAGUAACUGUGCACAUCUUGACGGUACCUAAUCAGAAAGCCACGGCUAACUACGUGCCAGCAGCCGCGGUAAUACGUAGGUGGCAAGCGUUAUCCGGAAUUAUUGGGCGUAAAGCGCGCGUAGGCGGUUUUUUAGUCUGAUGUGAAAGCCCACGGCUCAACUGUGGAGGGUCAUUGGAAACUGGAAAACUUGAGUGCAGAAGAGGAAAGUGGAAUUCCAUGUGUAGCGGUGAAAUGCGCAGAGAUAUGGAGGAACACCAGUGGCGAAGGCGACUUUCUGGUCUGUAACUGACGCUGAUGUGCGAAAGCGUGGGGAUCAAACAGGAUUAGAUACCCUGGUAGUCCACGCCGUAAACGAUGAGUGCUAAGUGUUAGGGGGUUUCGGCCCCUUAGUGCUGCAGCUAACGCAUUAAGCACUCCGCCUGGGGAGUACGACCGCAAGGUUGAAACUCAAAGGAAUUGACGGGGACCCGCACAAGCGGUGGAGCAUGUGGUUUAAUUCGAAGCAACGCGAAGAACCUUACCAAAUCUUGACAUCCUUUGACAACUCUAGAGAUAGAGCUUUCCCCUUCGGGGGACAAAGUGACAGGUGGUGCAUGGUUGUCGUCAGCUCGUGUCGUGAGAUGUUGGGUUAAGUCCCGCAACGAGCGCAACCCUUGUCUUAUGUUGCCAGCAUUUGGUUGGGGACUCAUGAGAGACUGCCGGGGUCAACUCGGAGGAAGGUGGGGAUGACGUCAAAUCAUCAUGCCCCUUAUGUCCAGGGCUUCACACAUGCUACAAUGGUCGGUACAACGCGCAGCGACACUGUGAGGUGGAGCGAAUCGCUGAAAGCCGGCCUUAGUUCGGAUUGGGGUCUGCAACUCGACCCCAUGAAGUCGGAGUCGCUAGUAAUCGCAGAUCAGCAAUGCUGCGGGAAUACGAUACCCGGGCCU